GUCUUGUUGAGUUAAAUGACAAGUUUAUUCUGCCCAUUGAAUUAAAUUUAAAAGGCUGCAGUAUAUUGACUGUACAAAGGUAGCAAAAUCAAUAGUUUUUUAAUUGAAAACUUGAAUGAAAGAAUUGAUAAAAUAUAAUCUGUCUCUAAUUUAUUUAAUUUGAAUUUAAAUUUAAAGUUAAAAUGCUUUAAUAAAUUUAUUAGACGAUAAGACCCUAAGAAUUUAAAAAUGUUAAUUUAAAAUUUUUAUUUAGUGAUUUUUUAAUUAUUAAGUUAAUAUUUUUUUAUUGGGAGGGUAAUUAAAUUUUUGAACUUUAAUUUUUAGUAAACAUAGAUAAAUGAAUUUUUAAGGAUAAUUUUUAUAAUUAUAAGAAUAAAUUACCUUAGGGAUAACAGCGUAAUAAUUUUGGAAAGUUCAUAUUAAUAAAAUUGAUUGCGACCUCGAUGUUGAAUUAAAAUAAAAAUUAAGUGUAGAGGCUUAAAAUUUUAGUCUGUUCGACUAUUAAAAUUUUACA
rnacentral:rRNA from 1 species